AGUGACCGUUUCCUGGGACGCGAGACUCCUCUCAACGCUCAGGCCCGAGACGCUCCCGCGUCGCCACCUCUCCAGGACCGAGCCAGUGUAGCGAGAGGCUGGACCCCUCGGUCCCAGCCUUCCUUCCUGGUACAGCUCCCAGACCAGCUCUCAGCAGCCCCCUCUGGCGCCCGAGACCUACAGGAAAGUUGCUCAGAGCGGUGGAGGGGCGUCAUCGCCUCCUAGCAACGCUCCUAGCAACCGGAUAACAUCUGCUCCCUUUGGUCCAAUGCGCGCCUAGAAAAGCCGCGCGCCCGCCUCGCGUUCUGAGCCCGAGCGAGAAGCGCUUCAGAGAAGGAGGGAUCGACCUGCAGGAGCCGGCCGCCCCGCCAAGCAGCAGCCGCUGUCGCCGCCCGCCGUCGCGUCGCCGCUGCCGCUGUCGCUGUCAGAGCCCGUCCGAAAAGAGUGACACCUUCGAGAAAAACAGGACCUACGGAACAGUUGCACACGCAGUCUGCGGGAUCCCUGGCCACCCUUCAUGAGCCGGAGGCUGUGAGACAUGCUCCAUGUGCCAACGGGAGUUCUCAGCAAAUCUUCUGAGGCUGUCCUAGGCAGACCCUGUUCGGACUGAGUCAGCAUUACCAGCUUAUCCAAGAGAAGUACUAUCAUAUUCCUUAACAACGUCGAAAGUAGCCUACUUUAAGAGGAAAUAUGCAGAAGAAGAAGAUUUACAUCAAGAUUACCAUGGGUAUUUUCCAAAACACCUGAUAUUACCCGAAGACAGGACUUGUAUCCUCAAACUUUCUCUGGAGAAGCUCAGGUUUCUUGAAGACCCAGAAACCUACUUAAGAAGGUCUGUGUUAAUUAACAAUUUGCUGAGGAAGAUACACCUAGAGACAGAGAAAGAGAACUAUGAAUACUUUAAGGAAGCUCCCUGCUAUAAGACUGCUUAUUCUGAUACAAGAAAACGGCUGAAGUUUAUGGUACAGGAGUGCUGUUCCCAGUCUCUCUACUAUGAAGAGCUGCAUUCCUACCACAUUGUGCCUUACACUUCGGAGAGUACCAUCUAUGGGGUGGGCUACACUGGUGACCACCUGGAGCAAAAUUCUCAGUUGCUUAUUUAUAAGAUGAAUUAAAGUAACUGUUAAGUUCAUUGCUAUUUUGUUUCUAAAUGCCUGAACUGUUUAUAGUGAAGAUGUUAAUACAAAACACUAAUUGCCAGUGCCCUUGAUCUCAGUGAUGAGAUGCAUGCUGAAGCAAGGGGAGAGAACCAUGGGUAUUACCCAGCAAUCCUUAGUGCCAUCACAUUGAAUGGAAAAUAGACCCCCUUUAUCACAAAGCAGUGGUUUGAUGCAUUAGAAGAAAGGGUUUUUGUUGUUGUUGUUUGUUUUUGUUUUUUUUUUUUUUUUUUUUUUUUUUUUUUAUAUAGAAAGGGGUUGAUCUGUGGUGGACCUGUUAGAUUAAAAUUCUUAAGCCACUCCCCACCUGAGUUCUGCCAUUCUUAUUGAGAAGUAGCAAAAAAAAAAAAAAAAAAAAAGAAAAAGAAGAAAAAAGAAAAAAAAAGCAUAUUAAAUUGAUAAUGCUGUGACCCUGAGGAUUAAGGGUGGAAUGAAUCUAAUUUUCUUUACAUGAUGAGAAUCGUUCUUUCAGAAAUGGUUUGGCUUGUCAAACACUGUGCCAAAUGAUUGUCUGUCUUUAGCAUCCUUUAGCCGUGAGUGGCAGCUCAAGAUGGGGCUAGCAUACACUGCAGCUUCUCUGCUGAUUGUAACAACUGGAGUCCCUCAAGCUCAUCCACUUUUUGUUGUUGUCCUUGUUGAUUAUUCUUCCUUGGUCUUAAUAGACUUUCUCUUUAAGAAUCACAUGUAAUAAAUUAGCAUUGCAUAUAGGAUCAUCCUUAAGUUCUAUAGGUUGAUUAAGAUUUGUGCUGGGCCAUUAAGAGUUUGAAUUUUAUUUAUGAUCUUUUUUUUUUUUUUUAUAGGCUGUGAAGCUCAGGAAAAGGGUAGGCAGGCAAAAUAUGCUUUUAAUAGGUUAAUGAUUUUUUUUUAAAAAACCUGCUCUGGAAAGUUGGUGAGAAUAAUAGAAUUUAGACAUGAUGUUAUUUCUUCACCUUGCUAAGAGCUCACGCAAGGUGCCGGGAUGAAGCAUUGCACUGAUUUUUGUCUAUUAGUCCAGUAGUCAAUCACUUGCCACUUCACAAAAUGUGUGGGAAUGCCUUUGGGGAGAAUUUUAGAUAAGUUCUUAUGUUUUACGGUUUGGAGGGUGGUGACUUAAUGAGUUGGGUAGACUUAUGAAAUUGCUGGAAGUGAUUCAUCGUGUUCUUGAGGUUUGAGUGAGACGUCUGACUCCAGGCUCUGAAGUUGUCCUAUGGAGCGUUUCUUUUAAAGAACUGUUAUUGAUAAAAUAGAUUGGGAAAACUAGGUGCCAAAGGUGUAUUUAAGAAAAUACCAAAGACUCAAGGAUGAGUGUUAGGGAGGCUGUGAAAGUAAAGCUAGCAAAGACAAGAUUCUAAGCCAAGGACUGCACAGGGGAUGUGGAAAGUGUUAAAGGCUUCAUGAGAAUUUGCUUACUGGUCUGCUUUCUGAGCUUUGUUCACAAUGAUGACAAACAGGGAUACGAUACUAAAUUAAGAUAUCAAGUAUUUGCAAUUCAAAUAUGGCAGCUGUCAGCGCGGUGUCAUCCCCAGCUGAAGUACAGACUUGUAAACAGGCUGACCAUAUCUCAUUUAGACACCACUUGUAGUCCUUGUGAUGCAUCACCAAGGUGAUUUGUACAAAGAAUACGGGGCCCCUGACUAGACUGCAUGGUGAGAGACUGAAGCAAAAGACUAUGCGCAUGCUUGAUCCAAGUGCCAGGUUUAUAUUUAAUUUCUUAAUCAGCAUUAAGUUAAAGUGCUUUAGAAUAAAGUACAAUUUAAAAUAGAGGUAAAGACUCACAGACAAGUCAGUGUGUAAUGGUGAGAUGUCUUUGAAACCCACAUAUAAAUAUUUAAAAAUUAAUUGGAGAGCAAGAUUUGGCAUAGAUGUUUAAUACUUUUAUUUCCUUGCUUCCAAGAGGCCGUAUUUCUCAGAAAAAAAUUCUUUCAAAAAUAUUUAUUUAAAUUUGAGGCUAGCCUAAAACUCUAAACUUGACAAGAUAAGAAUGCCAUAAGUCUAGAGACAGAAUCGGUAUUCAAAGCUUUUUAAGUUUUCACUGAAAUGAACACCUGAUGUGGCUUACAACAGUGCCUCUAAGAAGAGGCCACCAACCCUAACAGGUGUGACUUCUCAAAAAGCACAUGUUUAAAUUGUCUAAGUAUAGAAAUACACAUAUUUUGGGAUAGAAGAGAAAGGAAGAGGAAAAGAGUAGUCAAGAAAGUGUAAAUUUGUAACAUCUCCUGUAUGUCAGAAUCCUUAAACAAAGCCAGAACUCUGGGACAAAGAACCAGUAACAUAUGUAAAAAUCCAUUGUAUUUCAAGACAUCAUUACCUGAAUGCUCUGAUCUAUACCUUCAUAUAUAAGCUGUCUUAGAAGCCAGUGGUAUUUGUGAUUCUACUUUUAUCUAAAUAUUCAUUGAUUUAACAACAGAUUAUUUUGAAAAUAUUUUUUAGUGCAAAUAAUUUUCCCCCAGUAAACAGCUCAUAGAUAAGGAGUUGACAAGUGCUAUCUUGAUUUUUCCUUUAAGCUUGUAUUUAAAUUCUGAAGACUUGCAUGAGUUAGCCCAUGUAUGGCUGUGAUUUUAGCAGGGCCAGCUAGGAUACAGGGAGAUCCCAUCCAGGUUUGCUCUGCUAAUGACUUUUCUUCCACUGUGGAUGGUGCAGGCACCAGUUAAAGCUUUUUUGACUUUAGGCAUCUUUGAUCUGGUGACAGAAGCUAGCCUUAAAAUAGGAAACUGAGACAAGAAAUCUGAGUGUCACUGUACUCUUCUCCUGAGGGUUCCAUAAGAUCCCUGGCAAAAAAGAAAACAUACACACACAUACCGCACA